UGGGGAAUAUUGGACAAUGGGGGCAACCCUGAUCCAGCCAUGCCGCGUGUGUGAAGAAGGCCUUUUGGUUGUAAAGCACUUUAAGCAGUGAAGAAGACUCCAUGGUUAAUACCCAUGGACGAUGACAUUAGCUGCAGAAUAAGCGCCGGCUAACUCUGUGCCAGCAGCCGCGGUAAUACAGAGGGUGCAAGCGUUAAUCGGAAUUACUGGGCGUAAAGCGAGCGUAGGUGGCUUGAUAAGGCAGAUGUGAAAGCCCCGGGCUUAACCUGGGAACGGCAUCUGAUACUGUUAGGCUAGAGUAGGUGAGAGGAAGGUAGAAUUCCAGGUGUAGCGGUGAAAUGCGUAGAGAUCUGGAGGAAUACCGAUGGCGAAGGCAGCCUUCUGGCAUCAUACUGACACUGAGGUUCGAAAGCGUGGGUAGCAAACA
rnacentral:rRNA from 1 species